AGGAGGAAGAUGGCGGCGGGGGCGAGGUGAGGUGUUGGCAGUAGAAAGGGGUUCGGGUGCGGGGGGCGGGGGAACGCGGAGCGAUGGCCCGCGCCGGCCGCACGGCCGGUUAAGAAGCGGUCGCGCCGCGGGUGUGGGAGGGAGAGGAGAGGGCGCCUGGGCGCCACGAGAGUAUGACGGGGCUGUACGAGCUGGUGUGGCGGGUGCUGCACGCUCUGCUCUGCUUGCACCGCACGCUUACCUCCUGGCUCCGCGUUCGGUUCGGCACCUGGAACUGGAUCUGGCGGCACUGCUGCCGCGCCGCCUCCGCCGCGGUCCUAGCGCCGCUCGGCUUCACGCUUCGCAAGCCCCCGGCUGUCGGCAGGAACCGCCGUCACCACCGGCAUCCGCGCGGGGGUCCGGCCGCGGCCGCCGCCCACCUGCGGCUGCGCUGGCGCGCGGACGGCCGUUCCCUGGAGAAGCUGCCUGUGCAUAUGGGCCUGGUGAUCACCGAGGAGGAGCAGGAGUUCAGCUUCUCGGACAUCGCAAGCCUCGUGGUGUGGUGUAUGGCCGUGGGCAUCUCUUACAUUAGCGUCUACGAUCACCAAGGUAUAUUCAAAAGAAAUAAUUCCAGAUUGAUGGAUGAAAUUUUAAAACAACAGCAGGAACUUCUGGGUUUAGAUUGUUCCAAAUACUCACCAGAGUUUGCAAAUAGCAAUGACAAAGAUGAUCAAGUUUUAAAUUGCCAACUGGCAGUGAAGGUGCUGUCCCCAGAAGAUGGAAAAGCAGAUAUUGUGAGAGCUGCUCAAGACUUUUGCCAGUUAGUAGCCCAGCAGCAAAAGAAAUCCACAGAUUUGGAUGUAGAUAUGUUAGACAGUUUACUUAAUCUUAUAUGGAAACCAGUCUGUAAAGCAAAAAAUGGCCAGGCCUUGGUUGAGGUUCAGAUGGUUUCCCUGACCCUGAUUUAGUAUUGAAGUUUGGUCCUGUGGACAGCACACUAGGCUUUCUUCCCUGGCACAUCAGGUUGACUGAGAUUGUCUCCUUGCCUUCCCACCUAAACAUCAGUUAUGAGGACUUUUUCUCUGCCCUCCGUCAAUAUGCAGCCUGUGAACAGCGUCUGGGAAAGUAGCGAUCCCUGGUUGUGUCAUUUGAUUUCAGGCUUUUGGAGAAAAGGACUCAAGUGACUCUGAUGUUUACAAAGCACCUAUGAAACCCUGUAUACACCUAGUUCAUAAUCCUCAUAAUUUAUCAACAAACACAAAAAAGUGUCUUACUGGAGAGUAAGAGUAUGUAUGUGUGAGUGCGUAUGUGUGUGUGCGUGUGUGUGUGCAUGUGUGCGUGGAAAUAAACUUAUAAAUGGGGGAAGUAUUGGAGAAGGAAAAUGUGGACUUGCACCUUUGAGCAAAUAGUAGCAAUGUUUUAGGAGCUAAACUUUCAAAUUUAAAGGCUUCAGCCCCAACUACUUCCCUAUUUUUGUGGGGAGAGAAAGGGGUGAUUAAAGCUGUUUUGUUGUGGUUUCGGGGGGAGGGGAAUAAUUUUUGUUCAGUCUUUCCUAGUGACCAAACUUUAAUUUCUGAGAAUAAUAUAUUAAAUGGAACCAUUCUGAGUUUGAGGGAUCUCCAGAGGAGUGGAGUUCUGCUCACAUGUUAGAAGUGUGCUCACCUCUGGAGCAGAGGGAAUACCUAUUUCCAGACAUCCGUCCAUUUUCAUUUCUUCAUUAUUGUCAAACAACAUGACUUGAAAGUGUUGCUCUGUUGUCUGUGAGCUGGGUUGUGAAGAUCAUUUGAAAAGAACUCUUACAACAUUGAAAUGCAGAAUUUAAAAAAUUUAAGUAUUGUAUGAGGCAGUCAAAAGAAGGUAAAAACAUUGUAAUCUUAGAAGUAAAGAUGGGAAGUUUCCUUAAUAAGGAAAGUUUUGAUUUCCUUUUCUGUUCAGUGGGCAGUGUGCUAAAGAGUACCCAAAAUUGGUUUAAAAAAUAAUUCCAUUAACUGUGUUUAUUUAAAAUAAGCAUGUGAGGGAAGUUACCAAGGCAGCUCUUUUUCUUAAAAGUAACCUGUUCCUCUUUGGAAUAGCACAUCUAGGGCCGUGUUAGUACUCAGGAAUUUUACUCAGUAAAUCCUGAUGGUGACUUUGCAUAAAAGAUCUUUAAGUAAGAUUGAGGCCUGUGUAGGUAAUAAACUAUUACUGAAGUCUACAGAAGUAAUUUAAUUUUGCAUGUUGUCUUUCAUGGCAGAGAACAGGACUGGUUCUGUUAUUUUUAAAAUGAAUAAAUGAUUUUUUUGAUAGGUGUUUAAUAUUUCUUUCCUCACUGCUGAUCCUCGGAUAGAAACCAUUCUUUACAUUUGAUGGACUGUUUUCAGAAGAAUCUUAUCAACAAGUGCCCAAUAGUUAUCCAAAACUCUGCAUUUAGAAUGGAGUAGUUUAAAUACUAGGUUUCAGAGUCUGAAAAAUAGCAAAGCAAGACUGGAUUUGGAAAGCAAGGUCUGGAGUUACUUGUCAAAUUCUGAAGCUAUGAAGAGUAAAUGUUCUGACUUUGGAUUACAAAACCCCAUUUAUGAUUUUAAAAAUACACUUGAAAUAAAAUGAUUAAACUAAAUUUUGGUUCAGUGACAUUACUUUGCACAGUAUAGUUCUUUGUACAUUGUGAGACUUUUUUUAGUCUUAAUUUAUUGCUUGAAGGUUUUGUGUGAUGCUACAGCGUAUCUCUCAACUUUACCAGAGAAUUUUUAUUUCUGUUCCCCUGUACUGUGAUCCAUGUUCUAUUGAGGCUUUUUGGCCUUAGUUUAAGACUGAAACUAUGCCUUUUAUAAACAUGUGUCUUUUUUAAACAUUCUGGAAUAUAUAUGGUUUUAAUGAAUUAAAUUUAUUGGGCCCAGUUGAAGUAAAGGGAUUUAUUAUUUGUUAAAAUGAAGUUGGUCAAAUAAAUUACCCACUGGGAUAUAGCCAAAGUCACGAAAGGUUUAAUAGUUGAAUCUUUGUGUGUUUAUUUUCUCCUUAACAUUUCAUAGCAGUAUAGUGUUACACAUCAGGGUGAAUCUGUAAGCUGUGAUCUAAGUCUGUUACAGCCCUAGGAAGAGGCCCUUAAAACAAGUUGCUAAGGAUUCUGAUUUCAGGUAAAGACAUUCCAGAUCCUUCUCACGAGUUUAACUGCUAGUAUCGUCUCCACAGCUUGAAUGGCAUUAGUCAUUCUGUAAUCCCUGCCAGAAUCAUUGCUAGUUACGUGUUGUCAGGGCUCCCUUUGCACUCCCGAGAAGAAUUGGUAACUUUACAGUGUUGUUUGUCUCUAUGUGUUUUGAAGGAUAUUGUCUUUAAAUUGUUUCUUCUUGACACUCCCCAUAGUGGAAAAAUUAUCAAAUUAAACCUACCUUAUGGAUGGCAGCUUGGAGCCUAGCAAGAAGUUGGAGGGUGUGAAUUCCAUUCCCAAUUCUGGUUCUGUUUUAUUUUUUAACACUGAUAACUGUUAGAAAGUUUGAAAGCUGGUUUUCAUGUGAGUAGCAAAUUUUGGUAUAUUGUAACUAAGGCUUAGUAAUGCCUAUCUUAAGAGAGGAAUGUGUUGUAAUAUUAAAGAACAGUGCCAAAUACACUGUGCACGUCUACAGUUUAAUCUUUGAAUGUAUAUUACUUGAUUAGCUCCCUCCUCCUUCUGUGUGAUGGUCCCAUGCAUAGAGUCAAAUCCUUGUGAUGUUUUGUAUGCUGUAGACUUUGGCAACAUGUAAAUAAUAUGUAAAGCAAGUUUUUAUGAUUAAGGAAUCAAAUUUAUUGAAUUUUAUUAUUGAAAGUUGAAACAACAUGUAUGAACAAAAACAAUAAAAGAAUAUACUCUUUUCAUGGA